GAAGGUAUUGAACACUCUCUUCUUCUCGCCGUCGCAUCUCACCAUAAACCCUAAUCACCUCAAAAUCUCUAAAAUCACAAAUUAGCAUAUAACUUCUGCUUGGCUGCUUCAAUCUCAAAGUUACCAUCAAUACCGGCGCAAUUGAGAGAACGAUCAUGAUAAUAAGACGUCUUUUGGAGCCGAUAGUGACACUAGAUGAUCUGGAACAUAAACCACAACCAUUGACAAUGGAAGCAAUGGAGGAAUUAUUCUCAAAGCACUGCCAGUGUGUAUGUUGAUCACGGAGAGUUUGUUGCCAAUGGCAGUGCUUCCUCUGAUCAACAUAGACACUGGCAGUGCUUUGGAAAUAAAUAAAUCUCUUGCCAUUGCUUCCUCUGAUCAGAAGGACAUUGCAAGGCUUGAUGCUUCCAAGGUUGCCUUGCUUAAACCAGAACUUUUACUGCCUGCCAGUACCACGGUGUUUGACUCCUGUGCCAUCAUUGAUGGUGCCUUUUGGAUUGAAGCAGCCAAGCAAAAGUUAUCUGCAAUUUGUAGGAUGCAAACACAGGUAAACACCGCUAACUUGCCACUAUAAUCUGCAAUGACAUAUUGAAAGAAAAACAAUCAUUUAUAGUCUUGAUUUCUGUAUAUAAAAGUGCUGGCGGUAGACUCCAAAUGUUGGGGAAUGAAAGUAUCGGCCGAAGGAAGCAGAGAACUCUGCAGCUUCCUUGAUGAUUCAGGCCAUACAAGAACGUAAGUAUGUGUGAAAAUUAUUGUAAUCAUUCCUUGUUGAAGGGUGUUGUACCUAUUGUUUAGUAUGUCUCCGGCCUCCUGAUGUGUUUUUAAAUCUCAGGAUUAGUUCUGGCUUGUGAGAGCUUAAUUGAGAUAAGAAUUUGAUUCUAAACUAAAUUUUCUUUAUUAAGUUAAUAGGUAACCAUGGAUAAGUUAGAUGAAAGUGAUUCUGAAAAUGAUGAAAUGCAUAACUCAUUUAAAUUUAUACAAGUUAUAAGUUAGAAAGUUUUAA